AUUUUAAAAUACUUAGAUUUAUUUAUCGAAGUUAGGUUAUGUCAGAGCUAUUGUUGCAUAUCGUCGAGUUGAAAUUAAAUGAAUCGGUAACUUAUGGUUGUUGAAAUAUAAACCUAGGAUCAUUGCAACUCAGAUCGUUUAGGAUAACCGCAAUUUAGAUCUAGUAUAAUUUACAUCCAUUGAUACCUGGAUUCUUUUAAUAGUGGUCAUUCCAGACGUGAUUGCAGUCUAGAUUCAGGAUAGUGAAGGGUCAUUAUAACCUGGGUCUAACAAUAAGAUGACUCGAGAUCGUUAUAAUGUAGAUUUAGAAUAAUUUACAGUCGUUGUUAGAACCAAGCCAGUCAAAGGUGAUCAUAUUUUAGUCCUAACUAUAAAAUAUGACUUGGACCAGUUACAACGUAGAUCCGGAAUAAUUUAAAGUCAUGGCAAUCUAGAUCUUGGACAAUCAUUUAACGCCAUUGCAUUUUAUAUUUACUAUAAUUUAGAAUUAUCGAAUUAUAGAUCCAUGAUAAUCUCGAAUCAUCACCUAGGGAUAUUCUAUAUACUAUAACCUUUGAGUUUUUCCCAUAUUUUGGACUUUAACUAAUCAUCUCUAUUCUCUAACGAAGCACAAUCCAAUGAAAAUGGUGGUUGAAUUGAUCCUCCUACCACACUUAUUAAAAUCGUAUCAAUCUGUAACUACGUCAGCGAGCAGAUUCCGUGGACGAGCAAUCAUCGCUCUGGCAUAGCAACCGGCCCCGCAUUCAAGGAUUCGAUGUCGCGAGGCGGUCGUAUAUGUGAAUCAGGUUUAUAAAUAUAUCCGUCGGAACGAGCGAAGACGCCGUUGGAUCUUGAAACCGAUUCGUAGAGAGGUUAUCGAUCCACCGCGAUGGGGGUGUCACGGUUCGCCGCGAAACACCGCGUAAACACUCUAUCUUCCUUCUCCGCAACCGGGUAUUAACGGCCUGAUAAAACGUGGAAAGCUUUACCAAUCGUCGCUCAUAGUGGGGGCAAAAGACGAGAGAAUCGUCGAAACUUGAUUCCAGUAUUUUCUAUUUCGAAUAAUUCACUUUGUCGUUCAUUUGUUUAAUAAUUGAUACAAUUCUUAAUUUAUCUAUACGAUAUUAUUUUUAUUGUGAAACUUGUAUGUGCAUUUUAUUAUUUCGCGCAUACGAACGAUUUUCUUUGUUUUUAAUAGGAGAAACAAGAGAAACGUGCGAUCGUGUAUUGAAAAGUCAAUGCACAUGCGCACUGAAUCUGAGUUUGUAUAUUUAUGAUAAUGAUAUCAUUUUGUCAAGUCAUUUUCAAGAAAUUCUAUAAAAUCGUCUCUCAAUCAAUGAAAUCAGAUGGAAUAUUUAAUUGGAGGAAAUCAUAUCAUUAUUCACUAUCCAUUAUAUCAAAGAAAUCUAUUCCAACCCAGUCAAACGAAGUUAAAGUUAAAAUUUGAAAGGAAGAAAGCCUGGAUUCUCGUAUAAAAUCAUUUGUUGAUUUUUUCAUUUGUCACGAUUUUUUAUUAUCUUCCAAAACGAUUCGAAAUCCUUGAAAAUGAUUCGUGAUGAAAAAUCAAGUCGAGUUCUGAAAGAAGCUGUAGCAGGCCGUAGUCACAUUCGUGAGGCUACCUACACGAGCAGGCCCCGAGGGACCGACCGGUCUGGCCAUAUUAGUCCACAGAGUACACGAGGAGGCUGACGUCACCGAAGGGUCGCGUUCUCCUGCUGCGACAUAAUGUCCUAGACGUUUCACAUCUACGGCUACCCUAUCGCCAACUAAAUACCGUUUUCCAAAGAUCUACUACGAUUUUACCGACCGAUUGGAAACUGGUCACGUACCAAGUAGUUCCUUAACUGGCAACCAACGAAAAGGUGACUCAAUGAAAGACCUUGUUCAAUAAGGGAACCGACCUUAUUUUAAUUGGAAGAGUAGAUGUCGUAUUCUGAGGAUUAGUAGAGUGAAUGUUAACGUGAAUGUUAAACGUUCACGAAAUUUUAAUCGAACCAAUGGAGGACGUACACGAGGAAAAAUCGGUUGAGAAGUCGAACGGUACUUCGAAAAGGAACGAGUCGCCGGGUAGAAUUUCUCGUUGACUUCCGGCUGCAACAAAGUUACGAAGACGUGACUGGCCGAUCAAAUCGUCAUCGUUGUCUAGUCUAUUUAUGGAAAUCGUUCUACGUGUCAUCCUCUAAUGAGCAUUUUGUUAACAUUGUUCGUUGUGAAAGUUCUGGCAUUUUGCUGGCAAGGCUUUACCAACGUUCUACCGGUGCACGUGCAGGUUUACACGUAUGAAAUGUCAGAACAACGGGUGGAUUGAUUGUUUAAACAAGCAUUUAAGCGUCUCGAAGGUGUCGCAAAGCCUCGACUAUUUCCUCGAAGGUUGACCAAGGACGCAAGGAUCUGAAUAGAGAAGAGAGAAGAAAGCCUAUAUAUAUAUACAUACAGAUGUUAGUCACAAAAGCCGUGUCUAACGAAUCGAUUCGUUAAGUCUUCUUGGAUGGUUGCUCGUGGAAGGCGCUUUAACGUACGUAACAGCUCUAGCGUUACUUCUCGGGUAUACUAAUCGUCUGAAAGGGUUCUGGCCUUAUUGUGAACGAG
rnacentral:lncRNA from 1 species